GAGCCCGGCGCAGUGGAAAGCGGGCCAAGAAGCAGAGGUCCAGGUUCCAACUCUUGAUUCUAUCACAAAACACUGCACCCGAGGCAGCCAGGCAGCUUCCGAAGACCUCGUUUUCGUUCUUGUUGCCCAGGCUGGAGUGCAAUGGCACAGUCUUGGCUCACUGCAACCUCCAUCUCCCAGGUUCAAGUGAUUCUUCCACCUCAGCCUCCCGAGUAGCUGGUGUUACAGGCACCCGCCACCACGCCUGGCUAAUUUUGUAUUUUUAGUAGAAACGGGGUUUCACUAUGUGGCCAGGCUGGUCUCAAACUCCUGACCUCAGGUGAUCAGACUGCCUCAGCCUCCCAAAGUGCUGGGAUUACAGGCAUAAGCCACCGCACCUGGCCAACAAUUUUUUAAGGAAAAGAAGAAAGGAAAAUUAUUGACCUCAGCUUCCACCUUAACUAGAAAAGACCAAAUGAAACCUAAAAUAAAAAGAAGAAAAGAAAUAAUAAAAAUCAGAGUUGAAAUCAAUGAAACAGAGAACAGAAAAUAAUAGAGAACAUCAAUGAAACAGAACGUUCUUGAGAAAAUUGUUAAAUUUAUAAAUUAUAGUUAGAUUGAUCAGGAACAAAAGAGAAAAUAAAAAUGACCAUUAUCACAAAUGAAAUGGAUAACUUUACUACACAUUCUACAGAUAUUUUUAAAGUCUGAGGCACAGACCUUUAAUAUAAAAACGCUUUAUAGUUCUGUCUAGGGACAUAAGAUCUCAGGAAAAAGAAAAGAAACAUCAGUAAAAGCACUUUUGCUCUGUUUUACAAAAUUGAAAAUCAAUCCCGUGCCUUGUCCAGGUUGUUUUAGGUACACGAGUGUAAAACUGUAUGGUACCCACUGUAAUAGACGAAGCCCAGCUUUCCAUUUGAUCAUGUGCUUAUGUUUUCAUCUAUGGGGUCCCCAGGACCCCUGCACACAGUAGGUGUGCAGUAAACGUUGAGUAAGUCAAUAGAUGGUGGUGGUUGGCAUCGUCUUCCUAAUGUACGCUAGACUCUGUAGUGGCACAAAAGUCAGCACCUGGAAUCCACGUGGGUUUCCGUAUCCUCCACCAAAUGUUCACCAAGCACUCCUCUGUGCAAGGCCUGAAACAACAGAGGAGAACAGAGAUUUGGAACUUUGAGUUAAUAAUGGUAGUUAGAUGAUAUUUUGGACUCCAAGUUGACCCUAGAAUACUUAAGCCUUCGGAGCAUGUUAGGAUGGGAUGAAGGCGUUUUGCCUGCGGGAAGGACAUGAACUUGGAGGAACCAGAGUGUGGACUGUUAUGGGUUGACUAGGACCCUCAAAAACGACGUUCAAGUCCAAACCCUCACUACCUGUCCUUCUGACCUUAUUUGGGAACGGGGCUGUGCAGAUGUCAUUAGUUAAGAUGAGAUCACACUGGAGAUUACGGUGGGCCCUAAGCCAAUAUGAGGGGUGUCUUCAUGAGCAGAGGGAAAUCCGAACACAAUACAGGGAAAAGGAAAAUCUUUCUGGUGUUUUAUUUACUUGCAUUAGUUUCUAAGGCUGCUGUAACAAAGUACCACCAACUGGGUGGCUUAAACAACAGAAAUUUAUCAUCUCACAGUUUUGGAGGCUGCAAGUUCCAAAUCAAGGUGUUGGCAGGGUGGGUUCCUUCUAGGGGCUCUGGGAGGAAAUCUGUGCAAGGCUCUCUUCCAGCUUCUGGAGGUUGUUUUUGCUCACAAGCCUGGGCAGUCUUUGGCUUGUGAAAGCAUCUCCCCAGUUUCUGCCUUCAUCUUCAUGCGGCGCUCUCCCUGUGUGUGUGUGUCUCCAAAUUUCCCCUCUUUAUAAGGACACCAGUCCUACUGGAUUAAGGCCCACCCUAAUGAUUUCAUUUUAAGUUGACUGUCUCAGCCAAGGCCCCAUCUCCAAAUCAGGUCACAUUCUGGGAUGCUGGGAGUUUGAAUUUCAACACAUGAAUUUUGGAGGACACAAUUCAACUCGUCUCACCGGUUCAGGUGUCCAGAAUUGGUUUAUUUCCCAUCUUAAUUGUAGAUUUACAAUGUAAAUGAGCCAUACAUUUUGUCAAUUUUGUUUUUGCAAGAAGUAUUUAAUUUGUUGGUCUUACCUAUUUUACUACUUAGAAGAAAUUAAAAUUGCCUAAGUAAGAGUU